rnacentral:misc_RNA from 1 species
CCCAACUAUCCCUAUUAAUCAUUACGGUGAUCCUAGAAACCAACGAAAUAGAAUCAGUCCGUCCUAUUUCAUUAUUCCAUGCUAAUGUAUUCAGACUAUCGUCUGAAUACAUUAGCAUGGAAUAAUGAAAUAGGACGGACUGAUUCUAUUUCAUUAUUCCAUGCUAAUGUAUUCAGACGAUAGUCUGCUUUAAACACUCUAAUUUUUUCAAAGUAACAGUCCUGAUUUCCCAUCACACCAAAUGAAUGGCAUGAAAGUUCCUCAGAAGGUAGAGAUCCAUCUCACCAGUGCAGACAAUUAAGCCUGACCAAUGGGUAGACCCCGAGGUUCAACUACGAGCUUUUUAACUGCAACAACUUUAAUAUACGCUAUUGGAGCUGGAAUUACCGCGGCUGCUGGCACCAGACUUGCCCUCCAA